CCUACGGGCGGCAGCAGUGGGGAAUAUUGGGCAAUGGGCGCAAGCCUGACCCAGCAACGCCGCGUGAAGGAAGAAGGCUUUCGGGUUGUAAACUUCUUUUAAGGGGGAAGAGCAGAAGACGGUACCCCUUGAAUAAGCCACGGCUAACUACGUGCCAACAGCCGCGGUAAUACGGAGGUGGCAAGCGUUGUCCGGAUUUACUGGGUGUAAAGGGCGUGCAGCCGGAGAGACAAGUCAGAUGUGAAAUCCACGGGCUCAACCCGUGAACUGCAUUUGAAACUGUUUCCCUUGAGUGUCGGAGAGGUAAUCGGAAUUCCUUGUGUAGCGGUGAAAUGCGUAGAUAUAAGGAAGAACACCAGUGGCGAAGGCGGAUUACUGGACGAUAACUGACGGUGAGGCGCGAAAGCGUGGGGAGCAAACAGGAUUAGAUACCCCAGUAGUC
rnacentral:rRNA from 1 species